rnacentral:precursor_RNA from 12 species
UUAGAUUAAAGGUGCCUCCAGGUGCCCAACUGUGUAGAGGCAUGAAACAUGCUGUGUUCUGUGUACUGGUAAAUUUCUCGCCUCUCACAGUUGAGCAUCUAGGAAUUUUCUACAGGCCCCU